CGAUCCAAUCGUCAAAUUGGUUGUGGCGUGUUGCUUCUCUGAAUUUCAUAUCACAGCCAUUUUUGACGAGUUGGAUCGC
rnacentral:pre_miRNA from 1 species